rnacentral:lncRNA from 1 species
AUGGACUACAGAUACCUUCUUGUGCCGUGUCAAAGGAAAAGCAGCUGGGAAACACAUAGUAACUGACAAAUGUAGACUGACCUUUAUAACCAGAACUGGCAGAGAUCUGGGUGUGACUUCACAAGGAAAGACAAUGCAAUGGAAGGACUGUGCUGGUCACAGGAAAAACAAUUUAGAUGGAUAAAGAAGACACAGGGCAAUCUUGGAUCUGCACUCCACUUCCUGGCCCACAGCUCUGCCUGACUUCUGGGAGGUCUGUGGCCAACCAGAAAAACCAGUUUCAUCAUGCUCCUGUCCAUGAAUCCUGAUAUCUUCUAGUUCCUGUCCCUCUCCACAUGACUUUGUUACCUAAUUCCCUGGUCAUAUCACCAUCAUUACCAUCAUGACCAUCACCAUCUGCAGCAGCAGCAUCACUACCACCACCAGCAGCAGCAGCAAGUGGAGGAGGAGCAGCAGCAGCAGCAGGAGGAUGAGGAGGAGCAGCAGCAGCAGGAGGAGGAAGAGGAGCAGCAGCAGGAGGAUGAGGAGGAGCAGCAGCAGCAGGAGGAGGAAGAGGAGCAGCAGCAGCAGCAGUAGCAGGAUCUAAUCACCAUCCACACUCCUCUUUGUCUACAGCAGUGUUAUUUCUCAGUUCUGUUUCCAGUGCUCUGAGGAAUGAAUCUUUUUCCCUAUUGUAGAUUUUGCAA